rnacentral:rRNA from 1 species
GCUGGCGGCGUGCUUAACACAUGCAAGUCGCGUGCGCAGUUGCCGUAGCAAUACGGUGAUGGGCGCACGGCGCACGGGUGCGUAACACGUGGGCAAUCUGCCCUCUGAUGGGGAAUAACCCGCCGAAAGGCGGGCUAAUUCCGCAUAAGAUUCUUCGGACUUCGGUCUGGAGAUUGAAAGCAGUAAUGCGUCGGAGGAGGAGCCCGCGCCCGAUUAGCUAGUUGGUGAGGUAACGGCUCACCAAGGCUAUGAUCGGUAGCUGGUCUGAGAGGAUGAUCAGCCACACUGGAACUGAGACACGGUCCAGACUCCUACGGGAGGCAGCAGUGGGGAAUCUUGCACAAUGGGCGAAAGCCUGAUGCAGCGACGCCGCGUGGGGGAUGAAGCAUUUCGGUGUGUAAACCCCUUUCGACUGGGACGAAUGCCUCGCAAGAGGAGUGACGGUACCAUUAGAAGAAGCCCCGGCUAACUACGUGCCAGCAGCCGCGGUAAGACGUAGGGGGCCAGCGUUGUUCGGAAUUACUGGGUGUAAAGGGUUCGUA